UUGUUUUCUUUUUUUAAUAUUGUUUCUACUUGUUAUUCUUUUGCAGCGAGACCUAUCAGUACUAUGAUUUGCCUUUCUGCCUUCCAGAUCCAGUAAUUCAAAAGAAAGAAUCCAUUGGGGAAGUUUUGUGUGGUGAUCGUUUGACCAACAGCUUAUAUCAGUUGAAUUUCCGGCAGAACAAAAAUGAGGAGAGACUGUGCCAGAAGAAGCUUAGAGUUUCUGAAGUUCGGAAGUUCAGGGAUGCUAUCCCUAUUUUGUGUAAUAGUAAAACAUAAUAUGCAUAUUGAAGAGUUUAAAGUAAAUCUUUUAUUCGGUCCAA